rnacentral:SRP_RNA from 1 species
GCCAGGCAUGGUGGCUCAUGCCUGUAAUCUCAGCACUUUGGGAGGCAGAGAUGGGUGAAUCACCUGAGGUCAGGAGUUCCAGACCAGCCUGACCAACAUGGUGAAACCCCGUCUCUA